rnacentral:rRNA from 1 species
UACGUAGGGUCCGAGCGUUGUCCGGAAUUAUUGGGCGUAAAGAGCUCGUAGGCGGUUUGUCGCGUCUGCUGUGAAAUCCCGAGGCUCAACCUCGGGUCUGCAGUGGGUACGGGCAGACUGGAGUGCGGUAAGGGAGACUGGAAUUCCUGGUGUAGCGGUGAAAUGCGCAGAUAUCAGGAGGAACACCGGUGGCGAAGGCGGGUCUCUGGGCCGAUACUGACGCUGAGGAGCGAAAGCGUGGGGAGCGAACAGG